rnacentral:rRNA from 1 species
UAGGGAAUCUUCGGCAAUGGACGAAAGUCUGACCGAGCAACGCCGCGUGAGUGAAGAAGGUUUUCGGAUCGUAAAACUCUGUUGGUAGAGAAGAACGUUGGUGAGAGUGGAGAGCUCAUCAAGUGACGGUAACUACCCAGAAAGGGACGGCUAACUACGUGCAAG